AUUGAACGCUGGCGGCAUGCCUUACACAUGCAAGUCGAACGGCAGCGGACCUUCGGGUGCCGGCGAGUGGCGAACGGGUGAGUAAUAUAUCGGAACGUACCUUUCAGUGGGGGAUAACGUAGCGAAAGUUACGCUAAUACCGCAUAUUCUGUGAGCAGGAAAGCAGGGGAUCGCAAGACCUUGCGCUGAUUGAGCGGCCGAUAUCAGAUUAGCUAGUUGGUGAGGUAAAGGCUCACCAAGGCGACGAUCUGUAGCGGGUCUGAGAGGAUGAUCCGCCACACUGGAACUGAGACACGGUCCAGACUCCUACGGGAGGCAGCAGUGGGGAAUUUUGGACAAUGGGCGCAAGCCCG
rnacentral:rRNA from 1 species